rnacentral:lncRNA from 1 species
CGGCGGCGCCAGCGUUUCCAACGGCGGAAAAUGCGGAUGAGUGGGGGGAGGAGAUGGCGGGAGAUAAGGCGGGAGUAUGUGACGACUAGAAACGCGGUGGCAACCACAACUACCAUGGCGAUCAACGGCGGGCUGAAGUCAACUGGAGGUUUGGUAUUAUUAUUAUUGUUAUUAUUAUUCGACGGUGGUGAUGUUGACGACGACGACGACGACGACGACGAAGACGACGUGAUGUCGUAAGCUGUGGUCGGGCUGAUUGGAGGAUAUGCGGGGGGUAAGCUGAUCAUGAUGAUGGUGGUGAGGGGAAGGUUGGGUGCCUCCAGUGAGGUUUUCGCGCAGGGGGUUUAAUGUUAAGGUUUGACUGUUUUUGUUUGUGUAUUUUAGAGCUUUUGUUGACGGAGAGUCGGGCGAGUGACACGUCGUUUCUGCUGAAUUUAAGGCACAUGGGGAGAUAUCAGGUGCGUGUGAACGACAAUAGAAGCAUUUACUGCUGCGCUUAUUAUUUCUCGGCACGUCAUAAUUGGUGCUUCGUGUUUAUCUUUGUUAUCCACGUGGCUGUGAUUUAUUGGUUAUUGACUAGGAAGUCGUCUUGCUUCUGUUAUUUUAUUUAUUUUUAUUUAUUUUUAUUUAUUAUAUAGAGAGUAAAGCAAAGAGAAUACGUGGCUUUGAUGUGGUGGCCCACAGCGCAAUUUCCACAAAACUAAAAGGCACAUCAUGCAUAAUAUAAAAACUCUUUUUGUUGACUUCCACUCUGCUUUUUCUGAUGACUGAUUGUAAGGGGCAGGCUGUUUGCCAGUUUCUUCAUUGGCUCUUGAACAUUUUGCUUUCUUGGGAAAUAACUCAUAGGUCCCCGAGAGCUUUCAUUUUCACAAAUGGCAACAUAAUUUGUCCGUUUGUAUUAAGUGGAUCUUCCGCCACUUCUGUUAAGUAAUUUGUCCGUUUGGUCAUUUCACUAAGGAUUAUGGACCUGUUUCAUACAAAUGGAAUAUUAUGCGCUUAUUUGUUGAAACCUAAAAUCCUCUGGAUCUGGGUGUUAUUAUUUCAAUUUUUUAAUCAUGUAAAUUUGCUCAUUCACCUAAUCAUGGAAGUAUGAAAGUGUGUGUAUUGGAUCAUUAGAAUUACAAAUAUAAGUCAUGUCUCUAAUAUAGACACCACCACACUGUAAGUUUAUAUAACACGAGUUAAUAGGACUUUAUAAGUACAUAGGCUUCGUUAUUUGUAAUAAUUGUUGUACAAUUCUUAGCGUAAGGCAAUUUUGGUCUAGUAAUUUGUUUUUUUUGAGAAACUGAUUCAGUUGUCAGGUUCUUUUACUCUUUUUUUUUUUUAUUCUUGGUUGAUUGUCUUAAAAAGGCAUAACCGAAACCAUGACAACUCUUUAAAUUUUGAACCGAAGUAGAAUUGAAUUCUCAAUUUGAAUCGGACUGAAUCAAUUGAUACAGUGCAGGCGUUUUACCAACCCCUAUCUAUCUAUGCCACUAAAGUUGAGUUACUCUAAUAUUCGGUAAAUAUUUACAACUGUGGUUUGAAAGUUAACAUUAAAUAUUAUUAUGGUUUUUAAGCUAAUAUUAGGAAUCAUUAUGUAGUUUAUCAAAAUAUAUAUAAAAAUUAUCUAACAUGACUUCGGAAUAUAAUCUUUUCAUCGAAAUAUAAAAGCUAUAUACUGAGUACACACUUAUCAAUUUUUAAUUCAUAAUUAUAACUUCGUUUUUCAUAGCAGCUUUGAAUUUGACUUUAAAAUCACAACGGCGCAAUAACACUGCACAAUUCAAGAUGAUCCAAAAUAAAUUGUAUCCCAUUGUGCUAAUAGAAUUUUAAGAUACAUGAAUUUAUCUUUGGUUAACGUUUUGCCUGGAGCUUGUGUAUAAGAUAAGAAAAUAUCAUGUCGACGAAUGAUUGUGUAUGGUCGAGAUUUCAUUUCAAUUUAACCACAACGCAAUAAAAGCUAUAUACUGAGUACACACUUAUCAAUUUUUAAUUCAUAAUUAUAACUUCGUUUUUCAUAGCAGCUUUGAAUUUGACUUUAAAAUCACAACGGCGCAAUAACACUGCACAAUUCAAGAUGAUCCAAAAUAAAUUGUAUCCCAUUGUGCUAAUAGAAUUUUAAGAUACAUGAAUUUAUCUUUGGUUAACGUUUUGCCUGGAGCUUGUGUAUAAGAUAAGAAAAUAUCAUGUCGACGAAUGAUUGUGUAUGGUCGAGAUUUCAUUUCAAUUUAACCACAACGCAAUAAAAGCUAUAUACUGAGUACACACUUAUCAAUUUUUAAUUCAUAAUUAUAACUUCGUUUUUCAUAGCAGCUUUGAAUUUGACUUUAAAAUCACAACGGCGCAAUAACACUGCACAAUUCAAGAUGAUCCAAAAUAAAUUGUAUCCCAUUGUGCUAAUAGAAUUUUAAGAUACAUGAAUUUAUCUUUGGUUAACGUUUUGCCUGGAGCUUGUGUAUAAGAUAAGAAAAUAUCAUGUCGACGAAUGAUUGUGUAUGGUCGAGAUUUCAUUUCAAUUUAACCACAACGCAAUCAACUAAAAAUACUAUAUUAAUAAAAGAAAAUAAAUAAAAGAAAAAAAAUGUAAAUAUUGUGAUUAUCACUCUCCUUUUAGUGAGAAAAUCGGUGUGUGAAAUCUAAAGAGUGGAAAAUUGUAUGUAGAUUAUUAAAGCUAGUGGGGACUAUCAGAUAAAAAGUAUGGAGCACUAAAAAAGAAAGGAGAAAGUUCUUUGAAAUGAACCACCAGUCCAAAUUUUGUGGUGUAGAUCUCUCACAAGGAUUAAUGAGAUAGAAUAAUCUCAUUAAAUCUUUUGGCUUUUAUAGUUGCAAUAGUUGAAGAAAUGAUGAUGUCUUUUCUUUUGUGAUAUUUGCAACUACAUAAUCUUAUCUUGAAUUCUUGAUAAGAAUAAUAUUUAUUUGUCCUUUUAUUCAACUAAUUGUAUUGACAAAUCUUAUUAAAUAUUUUUGCUUUUGGCACUACUUGAAAAAUAAAGCCAUCUUCUCUCUUUUUAAUAUCUCAAACUGGAGAAGGUUUUUAUUAAUUCAGAAGCAUUAUUUUUUAACCAUUCAUUGAUUAUUUAUACAUGUAUGUAAAUUAUAGUUAAAAAAAAUAUACACAGGAAAAAAUAAAUGAGAAAAGAAUAGUACUCUAAAAAUAGAUAAAUUUUUUUCCUCAAGUUAUGUGCUGUACCCCCACUUUUAACUUAACUCACAUGCAUUAACAGAUAUACUCUCCUUAUUUAUAAAAUGUUAAUAAGUAUUAUGAUAUUUUGUCAGCUCUAUAUUUGACUGUUGACUGCUAUUUAAUUAAGCAAAUUUUUUUUUAAUACAAUAAGGGUGAUAAUAUUAAUUAAAAGACAAAAAUAUUAUUUGCUUCUUUUCAAUCUUUUGCUAUCAUAUAUAUAGAGACAAUACGAGAAAUGAAUGUAAAAUCAACUCUUGAUAUUGACUCCUGUAAAUAAUCAUUAAAUCUUCUUCAGUUCUUCUCAUCAGUCGCGUUCAUUUCAUGUUUGUUAAUUUGAACACAACUCUGCACCAGGGCCAAGGCGACUUUAGGCCGCGAAUUAAACGGUUGGUUGGGACCCAUAUUUCAAUUUGUUUUUUUUUGGGUUUUGUUUUCCUAAUAAUAAUUGAAUUAAUAAAUUUUUUAAGUUGUAUACAGUAUAAAAUAGUGAUGCAAUGGGGAGGGGAGGGGAGGGGAGGGGAUAUCCUCAUUCUCAUUCUCGAUAUUUUAUAUAUGUUCCCGUCCCCAUCAGAAUUGCUUAAAAAAAUUUUCAUCCUCUCUUCAAAUAAUAAAAAGGAAUCCCCGAUCCUUGAAAAAUUCUUAAUAACCAAUACAUUUUUAGUUUGUAAAAUUGAUUUAAUAUAUUAAAAUAAAAAACUUAAAUAAAAAUAAAGUUUGACAAUAUAUCUUGGUAAAGUUUGGAUGUUAUAGCUUUACAUUUUGCUUUAGUUGUUGUUUUAUUAGAUAAAAGUUAAAAAUAAAAAAAUUUGGGCCAAGGCCCUUUUGAAUAAGACCUAAUCAAAUAGAAAUUUAGGACUCCAAUUUAUUAGUUGGGCCCUAAAAUUUUAUAGUAUAUUUGUAUAAAUAUUUUGAAAUUUUUUAUUUAUAUUAAUAUUUAAUAUUUUUUAAUUUUGAUUUAUUAUUUAUUCAUUACUAUUUCUAAAGAAUAAAGUUAGAAUUAAAAAUCAAAUUGGGAAAAUGAGGAUUGGGGAGGGGAUGGGGAUUCAAGCUCAUCCACGUCUCUUCCCCGAAAAAGAAAUUAGGUAAAAAAUUAUCUUUAUCCCUUCCCCGAAUAAGAAAUUGAAUAUAAAAUUAUCCUCAUACCCUCCCCAAAUAAGAAAAAUUCCCGAAGGCCCCUGUCCCCAUGGGGAUUUCUGCCAUCGCUAGUAUAAAAACUUAUUUUUUAGGUCUUUCUCUAAUUAAUAAGUAUCCUACAAUUAAGAUUUUUAUAUAAAUUCUAUAUUUGAUAACUUUAAAAAGGUAUAAUUAAUAAUAUUGUACAGUAGUUUCAUUAUUAAUUUUUUCAACUUAAUAAAGAUUUUUAAUCAUUAAGUUUUUGAGCUAAUUUAUAUUUUUUUGCUUUUUGCUUAACCUAAAAAGUCUAAAUGAUAUCAUUAAAAGAUAUUCUCCAAAAUAUCUCUAUCUAAUUAAUUAAUUUUCAUGGGGGGAGGAGAUGGCGGGAGAUAAGGCGGGAGUAUGUGACGACUAGAAACGCGGUGGCAACCACAACUACCAUGGCGAUCAACGGCGGGCUGAAGUCAACUGGAGGUUUGGUAUUAUUAUUAUUGUUAUUAUUAUUCGACGGUGGUGAUGUUGACGACGACGACGACGACGACGACGACGACGACGUGAUGUCGUAAGCUGUGGUCGGGCUGAUUGGAGGAUAUGCGGGGGGUAAGCUGAUCAUGAUGAUGGUGGUGAGGGGAAGGUUGGGUGCCUCCAGUGAGGUUUUCGCGCAGGGGGUUUAAUGUUAAGGUUUGACUGUUUUUGUUUGUGUAUUUUAGAGCUUUUGUUGACGGAGAGUCGGGCGAGUGACACGUCGUUUCUGCUGAAUUUAAGGCACAUGGGGAGAUAUCAGGUGCGUGUGAACGACAAUAGAAGCAUUUACUGCUGCGCUUAUUAUUUCUCGGCACGUCAUAAUUGGUGCUUCGUGUUUAUCUUUGUUAUCCACGUGGCUGUGAUUUAUUGGUUAUUGACUAGGAAGUCGUCUUGCUUCUGUUAUUUUAUUUAUUUUUAUUUAUUUUUAUUUAUUAUAUAGAGAGUAAAGCAAAGAGAAUACGUGGCUUUGAUGUGGUGGCCCACAGCGCAAUUUCCACAAAACUAAAAGGCACAUCAUGCAUAAUAUAAAAACUCUUUUUGUUGACUUCCACUCUGCUUUUUCUGAUGACUGAUUGUAAGGGGCAGGCUGUUUGCCAGUUUCUUCAUUGGCUCUUGAACAUUUUGCUUUCUUGGGAAAUAACUCAUAGGUCCCCGAGAGCUUUCAUUUUCACAAAUGGCAACAUAAUUUGUCCGUUUGUAUUAAGUGGAUCUUCCGCCACUUCUGUUAAGUAAUUUGUCCGUUUGGUCAUUUCACUAAGGAUUAUGGACCUGUUUCAUACAAAUGGAAUAUUAUGCGCUUAUUUGUUGAAACCUAAAAUCCUCUGGAUCUGGGUGUUAUUAUUUCAAUUUUUUAAUCAUGUAAAUUUGCUCAUUCACCUAAUCAUGGAAGUAUGAAAGUGUGUGUAUUGGAUCAUUAGAAUUACAAAUAUAAGUCAUGUCUCUAAUAUAGACACCACCACACUGUAAGUUUAUAUAACACGAGUUAAUAGGACUUUAUAAGUACAUAGGCUUCGUUAUUUGUAAUAAUUGUUGUACAAUUCUUAGCGUAAGGCAAUUUUGGUCUAGUAAUUUGUUUUUUUUGAGAAAC